rnacentral:rRNA from 1 species
UACGUGAGGGGGCAAGCGUUGUCCGGAUUUAUUGGGCGUAAAGAGCGUGUAGGCGGUCAGGUAGGUCGGUUGUGAAAACUGGAGGCUCAACCUUCAGAGGUCGACCGAAAACCCCCCUGGCUAGAGUCCGGGAGAGGAGAGUGGAAUUCCUGGUGUAGCGGUGGAAUGCGUAGAGAUGUGGAGGAACACCAGUGGCGAAGGCGACUCUUUGGUCUGUAACUGACGCUGAGGCGCGAAAAGCGUGGGGGAGCAAACAGG